GUGCCUAGUAGGUCGGACUGUCUUCCUCUCUGUCUCUCGCUCGGUUUGUCCCUGGGUUUCACGCAGGAGCCAAUCGCCAGCUCUGCGUCUCCCUUACUCUGCCGUGGCUGUAUGGAACCUGACCUGUCUAGCAUUAGAUAACUCUCCCCUGCAGCGUUCUUUAGGCCUACUGGCUAAUCAGUGACUGCAAGUGUUUGGUAUGUAUGAAACCGGAAUGUUGUAGCUUUUGGUGUGGCAUUUGAGACACUGAUACACUCUAAGU